rnacentral:rRNA from 1 species
GCAUAAUCACUUGCCCUAUAAUUGAGGGCUCGUAUGAAAGGCUCGACGUGGGCGCGACUGUCUCUCAAGCGACCAAGAAAUCAAGCUUUAGGUGAAGACGCCUAAAUACUAAUAAAAGACAAGAAGACCCUAUAAAGCUUUAUCAUUCAAGGCCGAUUACACCACUAUUAAAAUACGCCGCCUACGGCCCCAUAUGAUUUGGUUGGGGCGACCAAGGAACCAACAAAGCUUCCUAAAAUUUAAACGGGCCUCAACCCAACUACUUGACCCGGCAUACACGACAAACGAACCAAGCUACUUUAGGGAUAACAGCGUAAUCCUCUUUAAGAGCCCGUAUCUACAAGAGGGCUUGCGACCUCGAUGUUGGACUAGGACACCCAGAAGGCGCAGAAGCUUUCCACGGCGGGUCUGUUCGACCCUUAAAGCCCU